rnacentral:rRNA from 1 species
GACGAACGCUGGCGGCGUGCCUAAUACAUGCAAGUAGAACGCUGAAGGAGGAGCUUGCUUCUCCGGAUGAGUUGCGAACGGGUGAGUAACGCGUAGGUAACCUGCCUGGUAGCGGGGGAUAACUAUUGGAAACGAUAGCUAAUACCGCAUAAGAGUAGAUGUUGCAUGACAUUUGCUUAAAAGGUGCAAUUGCAUCACUACCAGAUGGACCUGCGUUGUAUUAGCUAGUUGGUGGGGUAACGGCUCACCAAGGCGACGAUACAUAGCCGACCUGAGAGGGUGAUCGGCCACACUGGGACUGAGACACGGCCCAGACUCCUACGGGAGGCAGCAGUAGGGAAUCUUCGGCAAUGGACGGAAGUCUGACCGAGCAACGCCGCGUGAGUGAAGAAGGUUUUCGGAUCGUAAAGCUCUGUUGUAAGAGAAGAAACGAGUGUGAGAAGUGGAAAAGUUUCAC